AGAAUCGCUGGAAUGUGGCACGCAAGGAUUGGCAUCCAGAAACUUGUGCGUGGUCAUCACCCAUCGCCUUAGCAGCCGAAGUGGGAUCGAACAGGAGGCCUUAAUCAGCCUAAAUAACUGGACAAAGCCACGAGGGAAGUGAUCGGGAGAAAACAGAGACCUAAACCUGCCUCCUUUCUUCUGUGCUAUGAUCUUCCGCCUCCGGCAUUUAACCCCAGGAUACUUCCGCCUGCUACAGAUGCAGCUGGCCAGUGGACCCGAAUCGAAACCUCAAGACCGGCUGCUGAAUCACCUGGCGUUGCUGUUAGCGAUUAUGGGAUUAAGCCUCUCAUACUACAGCGCCCGGCAAAUGAGUGAAGAGACCAAACCGCAUCCGGAAGAACCGUGAGAUGCUCAGCUGCCGGGCAGGAGUGACCCAGGCCGAAGAAGACGAUUCGGGCAACACAGACAGGGGCGAGGCAAGGUUGGGGUCUCCGGCACUCACUCUGCGGCACAAGCGCACAUUAGAAUCCACUUCGUCCUCCAUUCUCGUUCUUGUUAGUGGCUCCCCUUCCAGCAGUGCCAGCUUUAUUUGCCUGGAUCAUCACUAAAAAAAAAUUGGAUACGCCGAGAUAUUUCCCAGCAUGCUGCGUUCCAGUUUGAUGGGGCUAAUACCAUGGCACCAGGGCUUUGCACCACCUCCUUGGCCUGAUCCUCACCCAAAGCCCCAAGUUGCACAUAAGGGUGCACAGAAACGGACUUGAGGGAGUGACCUCAUUGGUCUUGCAGUACUGCCUUGGGCUCCAGGGCCGGCCCUACUAUUAGUCAAGGUGAGGCAGUUGCCUCAGGCGGCAAAUGCUGAGAGGGGACAGCAAGGUGUUGAAGAAGAGAAAUUUGUGCCACAUGGCCUUCCCUAUGCCCCCUAAGUUAGUCUACUGACUUCAG